AUCUCUCUUGCAUUUCUGCUUUUUAUCUCAGACACCUGCUGUACAAUAAGGGAUGAGAAACUUACGGAGCAGACUUAGACCAAGCCAUAGAUUAAACCAAGCCAAUCCCAGCCUCAAUGAGCUGAAUUCCAGGUGGGAUUAUGGUUCUUGUGUGAUCAGGCCACCCAGGAUGGCUGCUGGCUUGCUCUCUGUACAUCCUCUGGGGACUGGUCUCUACCUCGCCUACACCAUACUCACAUGACUAACCUCCCUUCUUCAUUGAGCCUACUGGUGUUAAGUGAAGCGUGAAGCAGAAGGGAAAUCAGAGCGACUGAAAGCCUGCUGAAGUGAGCAGCGUGGUAAAGAGCGUUGGCCGCCUCAACAUAAAAGAGGCUCCCAGCUGACAACCAGGAUAGAAACGGGACUUCACCCUUCAGCCUCGAGGAAUGAGAUUCUAUCCCCAACCUGAGUGAGCUGGGAAGUGACUUCCCCCGCCAAGACUCCAGAUAAGGGCCCAGGCUAACCACCAUCUUGAUUUCACCUUAUGCAGCCUGGAGCCAAGGAAUGAGUCAGGCCCACAGGACUUCUGACUUACAGAAGUGAGAGGUAAUAAAUGUGUGCAUUGUAUGAAGCAGCUAAGUUUGUGGUGAUUUCUUGUGGCAGCAAUAGAAAACCAAUAUAGCCAGACAUCAAGUUGUUGUUUGUUUCAUUUGUUUGGGGUUAGCUGAGUCAGCUAGUCAUCUGUUUUAAUCACUAUGCAACUGAUUUAGCUAUAGGUUGAAUAUGUCAAAUAUUGAAUCAAAAUGGUCUUUCUUCAGCAAUAAUACUGUAGACAUAAAAGUGAUCCAAUUAUUUUGCCUCUUAGGCCAGUUUUUGCCUAUAUUUGUAACUGGCAGUUUUUAUAAUCUCUGCUUUAUAUUUUCACCCAUAAAUUUAUAUUUAUGCUUGACUUGGCACUGGCUCAAUUUCUAUAAUAAUUGGAGAUGAUUAAAAGGGAAGUGUUAAGUAAAUGCUGAGUGGUUAUUAUCAUAAAACAGACGUAGAUAUUGUGUCCUAGUACUGGUAGGAAUGUCUGUGUGGGCUUUUUCCUUUUGAAAUUAAAUGGUCAUAAAAUACCAUUGCUUCAGGCAAGAAAAUGUAAGAAUGUGAAAAUAAAGGCAUAUAGUCUUUGGAAAUAAAA